UGACAGAAUGCUUAACACAUGCAAGUCGAUGGGGAAGGCUGAGCUUGCUCAGCUGGUAACCAUGGCGGACGGGUGAGUAACGCGUAAGGAACUUACCUGCGGGACUGGGAUAACGGAGGGAAACUUCUGACAAGACCGGAUAAAGUUACAGGGCAGCAUUGUUUGGUAAUGAAAGGAGACGCCUGCGGAGAGUCUUGCGUCCUAUUAGCUAGUUGGUUGGGUAACGGCUGACCAAGGCGAAGAUAGGUAGCCGGCCUGAGAGGGUGGACGGCCACAAGGGGACUGAGAUACGGCCCUUACUCCUACGGGAGGCAGCAGUGGGGAAUAUUGGACAAUGGGGGCAACCCUGAUCCAGCAAUUCUGUGUGCACGAAGAAGGUUUUCGGAUUGUAAAGUGCUUUCAGCAGGGAAGAAGGAAGUGACGGUACCUGCAGAAGAAGCGACGGCUAAAUACGUGCCAGCAGCCGCGGUAAUACGUAUGUCGCGAGCGUUAUCCGGAAUUAUUGGGCAUAAAGGGCAUCUAGGCGGCCUAACAAGUCAGGGGUGAAAACCUGCGGCUCAACCGCAGGCCUGCCUUUGAAACUGUAAGGCUGGAGUACCGGAGAGGUGGACGGAACUGCACGAGUAGAGGUGAAAUUCGUAGAUAUGUGCAGGAAUGCCGAUGAUGAAGAUAGUCCACUGGACGGAAACUGACGCUGAAGUGCGAAAGCCGGGGGAGCGUACAGGAUUAGAUACCCUGGUAGUCCCGGCCGUAAACGAUGAUUACUGGGUGUGGGCAGGAAGACUGUCUGUGCCG
rnacentral:rRNA from 1 species